GAACGCGAAGAACCUUACCUGGUCUUGACAUCCAUGGAAUCCCGCAGAGAUGUGGGAGUGCCGUAAGGAACCAUGAGACAGGUGCUGCAUGGCUGUCGUCAGCUCGUGUCGUGAGAUGUUGGGUUAAGUCCCGCAACGAGCGCAACCCCCGUGUCCUGUUGCCAGCGCGUAAUGGCGGGAACUCUGGACAGACUGCCUAGUUCAACUGGGAGGAAGGUGGGGACGACGUCAGGUCAGUAUGGCCCUUACGCCUUGGGCUGCACACGUACUACAAUGCCCAGCACAAUGAGAACCGAUGCCGCGAGGUGGAGGAAAUCUGUAAAACUGGGCUCAGUUCGGAUUGGAGGCUGCAACUCGCCUCCAUGAAGUUGGAAUCGCUAGUAAUGGGGCAUCAUCUACGGCCCCGUGAAUACGUUCCCGGGUCUUGUACACACGC
rnacentral:rRNA from 1 species